AGUGGCGGACGGGUGAGUAAUGUCUGGGAAACUGCCUGAUGGAGGGGGAUAACUACUGGAAACGGUAGCUAAUACCGCAUAACGUCGCAAGACCAAAGAGGGGGACCUUCGGGCCUCUUGCCAUCGGAUGUGCCCAGAUGGGAUUAGCUAGUAGGUGGGGUAACGGCUCACCUAGGCGACGAUCCCUAGCUGGUCUGAGAGGAUGACCAGCCACACUGGAACUGAGACACGGUCCAGACUCCUACGGGAGGCAGCAGUGGGGAAUAUUGCACAAUGGGCGCAAGCCUGAUGCAGCCAUGCCGCGUGUAUGAAGAAGGCCUUCGGGUUGUAAAGUACUUUCAGCGGGGAGGAAGGCGAUAAGGUUAAUAACCUUGUCGAUUGACGUUACCCGCAGAAGAAGCACCGGCUAACUCCGUGCCAGCAGCCGCGGUAAUACGGAGGGUGCAAGCGUUAAUCGGAAUUACUGGGCGUAAAGCGCACGCAGGCGGUCUGUCAAGUCGGAUGUGAAAUCCCCGGGCUCAACCUGGGAACUGCAUUCGAAACUGGCAGGCUAGAGUCUUGUAGAGGGGGGUAGAAUUCCAGGUGUAGCGGUGAAAUGCGUAGAGAUCUGGAGGAAUACCGGUGGCGAAGGCGGCCCCCUGGACAAAGACUGA
rnacentral:rRNA from 2 species